UACAGAGGUCUCAAGCGUUGUUCGGAUUCAUUGGGCGUAAAGGGUGUGUAGGUGGCGCGCUAAGUCGGGUGUGAAAUUUCGGAGCUUAACUCCGAAACUGCAUUCGAUACUGGCGUGCUUGAGGACUGGAGAGGAGACUGGAAUUCAUGGUGUAGCAGUGAAAUGCGUAGAGAUCAUGAGGAAGACCAGUGGCGAAGGCGGGUCUCUGGACAGUUACCGACGCUCAGGCACGAAAGCAUGGGGAGCAAAAGGG
rnacentral:rRNA from 1 species